rnacentral:rRNA from 1 species
UAGGGAAUCUUCCGCAAUGGGCGAAAGCCUGACGGAGCAACGCCGCGUGAGUGAUGAAGGUCUUCGGAUCGUAAAACUCUGUUAUUAGGGAAGAACAAAUGUGUAAGUAACUAUGCACGUCUUGACGGUACCUAAUCAGAAUGCCACUGCUAACUACUUGCCAGCAGCCGCGGUAAUACGUAGGUGGCAAGCGUUAUCCGGAAUUAUUGGGCGUAAAGCGCGCGUAGGCGGUUUUUUAAGUCUGAUGUGAAAGCCCACGGCUCAACCGUGGAGGGUCAUUGGAAACUGGAAAACUUGAGUGCAGAAGAGGAAAGUGGAAUUCCAUGUGUAGCGGUGAAAUGCGCAGAGAUAUGGAGGAACACCAGUGGCGAAGGCGACUUUCUGGUCUGUAACUGACGCUGAUGUGCGAAAGCGUGGGGAUCAAACAGG